rnacentral:snoRNA from 2 species
UGCAGUCAAGUCAAAUUCAGUCCCUGUCCUGUCAUGGCAGGAACUGGCCCAGAUGGCUGCCACAACAAGUCCUGCUGCUCAUGGGCCCUGGGUCCCCUGUCCUGGGACCUAGGGAUAAGUUUAGCUGCAGACAUUG